UAACAAAAUACUAACAAAAAUACGUAACAAAAAACAGAGUAACAUACCUGACGAACAACCUGAACAAUCAAGGACAAGAAUAACUCUACCUUACAUAAACAGUACAUCUGAAAUGACCGCCAGAUUAUUGCGACCUUUCAACAUUGACGUAGCACACAAACCGGCACAUAAACUUAGGUCAUAUUUCACAAAACACAAAGACAAAACUGCAUCAAAACAAACAAAAAAUG